rnacentral:rRNA from 1 species
GACGAACGCUGGCGGCGUGCUUAACACAUGCAAGUCGAGCGAUUCUCUUCGGAGAAGAGCGGCGGACGGGUGAGUAACGCGUGGGUAACCUGCCCUGUACACACGGAUAACAUACCGAAAGGUAUGCUAAUACGAGAUAAUAUGCUUUUAUCGCAUGGUAGAAGUAUCAAAGCUUUUGCGGUACAGGAUGGACCCGCGUCUGAUUAGCUAGUUGGUAAGGUAACGGCUUACCAAGGCGACGAUCAGUAGCCGACCUGAGAGGGUGAUCGGCCACAUUGGAACUGAGACACGGUCCAAACUCCUACGGGAGGCAGCAGUGGGGAAUAUUGCACAAUGGGCGAAAGCCUGAUGCAGCAACGCCGCGUGAGCGAUGAAGGCCUUCGGGUCGUAAAGCUCUGUCCUCAAGGAAGAUGAUGACGGUACUUGAGGAGGAAGCCCCGGCUAACUACGUGCCAGCCGCCGCAGUAA